GACGAACGCUGGCGGCGUGCUUAACACAUGCAAGUCGUACGGUAAGGCCCUUUCGGGGGUACGCGAGUGGCGAACGGGUGCGUAACACGUGAGUAACCUGCCCACAACUUUGGGAUAACGCUAGGAAACUGGUGCUAAUACUGGAUAUGUGCUCCUGCUGCAUGGUGGGGGUUGGAAAGCUCCGGCGGUUGUGGAUGGACUCGCGGCCUAUCAGCUUGUUGGUGGGGUAGUGGCCUACCAAGGCGGCGACGGGUAGCCGGCCUGAGAGGGUGACCGGCCACAUUGGGACUGAGAUACGGCCCAGACUCCUACGGGAGGCAGCAGUGGGGAAUAUUGAACAAUGGGCGCAAGCCUGAUGCAGCAACGCCGCGUGCGGGAUGACGGCCUUCGGGUUGUAAACCGCUUUCAGCAGGGACGAAGCUUUUUGUGACGGUACCUGCAGAAGAAGCACCGGCUAACUACGUG
rnacentral:rRNA from 1 species